CGACGAACGGCUGGUGGCGGUAGUCCACCCUGUGCUUGCCGUUGUCGGUGGCCCAGGACGACGCGUCCCAGAUCGUCCCGUACACCCACAUCGGCCGCAGCGGGAACGUGUCGUCGCUCCUCCUCGGGUACCGCCGUAUCGGAUAGCGUAGUGGUGGAAGUCAGCAGCAGGGUCAAACCACAGGUGGAACUUCAUCUCCCUCCCGAUGACCCGGCCGUCGCCGCUCCCCUUGACGUACACAUUCGUCUGCAACUUGUAUGGCCUCCCCGGAGUAGUCCCCAGGAACUCGAUAUCCACCUCGUCAUGGAACCCAGGAUGCACUUGGUUGUUCGACAGCUGAAGCACAAUGUCGAAUGAUGCACAAGCAAGCAAGCAAGACGGCAACGGGAGUUGGCCAAGAAAGAACUCACGUAGAAAGCUGUGAUCACUCCUGCAGUGUCGCCAGGUUGGAGCUUGAUCGAUGCCGCAAAAUAGCCGCUUCGAAAUGGGCGAUUCGACUUGAAUCCGCUGCCUGUUAUCGAUGCAGCAGAGGCAGGGUUAACAUGAGACUGAGAUGAACCGUGAGGGAGGAGGAGGAGCAGCAGACCUGAGCUCCUGUCGAGCCAGAUGGCCACCGAGGACUGGUCUGCUGAGACUGUUUGAUGCCGGGCCCCCCACAGAGUGUUGUAUCCAUGGUAGAAGCCAGGCAAAGGCUUGAACCUGCUGCUUAGGUAGUAGCCAGGGGAGGGCUGAGCACUGCUGCAUUGUAGUAUGGAGAGCAGAAUGGAGGAGAAGAGGAGGAGAGCCAUGGAGGGAGCUCAACCAGCUGUGACACUACAGGGAAGAAAGGUGAGUAUAAAUAGGAAGAUGGAACGGUUACCAUCACAAGAAAACUUGAGCGGUGGAUACCGAUAGGCAAAUUUAGAUGAAGAUAAGUCCCCCAAAAAAAGGAUUAGGUAGAGAUGAUACAAAAAGAGUAAUGAAAUCUAACUCUAUAGUAUAUCAAUUUAGUCAGCUAUGAAUCCACUCAAAUUUAUUUCACUUUCAAGAUGAGAACAAACUGAAACAGUGACACUAUUCAUUAAUGUCUGACACUUAAGAUAGUUGGUAGAAUAUCUCAUUAAUGUAUCCUGUUCCUUUCUCACACUUUGUUUUUUCACCUUUUUUUUUUUUGCCAUCUGUUUAAUUUUUUGAUAUAUUAGUAAAAUAAUAACAAUGAUAAAACAUUCAUGUCUGGUUUGCUUGA